GCAGCGGACUGACCUGCCGAGCACCCUGAUGCGCUCGUAAAACCUGUCAGGAAUCGCAACUGCGGACGAUUAUUCGUACGCGAUGGCGGCGUAACAGCCCCCAUCUGUCUCACGUCGCUCCUGACCCUUGGGGAGCGUGAGACAUCGACAAAAAGGGUGUAGCCGUUCCGUUCUCCGGCUGCGGACGACACGGUGAAUUUCAAUCAGCCUUGGUGACGCCCUGGCCUCGUGGAUGGGCAGACGGGCGUCACGACGUUCCAAUGCAUCCACUAUGCAGGUAGAGGUUCGACUUGUGCGGCUACACGGACCCGGGUUCGACUCCCGGCAUCUCCACUA
rnacentral:tmRNA from 1 species